rnacentral:lncRNA from 1 species
GCUGCUGGCUGGGGCACAGCACCACCUUUUAGGGGUUUUUUAGGGGCACAUCAGCCUACCCACCAUCCCUUCCCUGCUCUCAUCCAGGGGUUAUUCCGAGCAGCACGGCCGACGUUUCACUGCCGUGAUUCCCACCAACGUCUUCGGGCCACACGACAACUUCAACAUUGAGGACGGCCAUGUCCUGCCUGGGCUCAUCCACAAGAGUCCGGCUCUGCUCUGACCGUCUGGGGAACGGGCAAGCCCAGGAGACAGUUCAUCUAUUCCCUGGACCUGGCCCGACUUUUCCUUUGGGUCCUGCGGGAAUACGAUGAGGUGGAACCAAUCAUUUUGUCAGUGGGAGAAGAAGAUGAAGUCUCCAUCCGGGAAGCGGCAGAGGCCAUUGCGGAGGCCAUGGAAUUCAGGGGAGAGCUCGUUUUUGACACCACCAAGUCAGAUGGGCAGUUCAAGAAGACGGCCAGCAAUGCCAAGCUCCGGCGGUACCUGCCCGGAUUCCAGUUCACACCUUUCAGGAAAGGUGAGAUGGGAGAGUCUCCAGGAGACACCAGGGGUCCUACCCCAUGCCAUCAGCCUUGGUGGCAUCAAGGUGGUCCACCCUUUCCCGAUGAAGAAUGAGGGU